rnacentral:rRNA from 1 species
AGCUUGCUCCUCUGACGUUAGCGGCGGACGGGUGAGUAACACGUGGAUAACCUACCUAUAAGACUGGGAUAACUUCGGGAAACCGGAGCUAAUACCGGAUAAUAUAUUGAACCGCAUGGUUCAAUAGUGAAAGACGGUUUUGCUGUCACUUAUAGAUGGAUCCGCGCCGCAUUAGCUAGUUGGUAAGGUAACGGCUUACCAAGGCAACGAUGCGUAGCCGACCUGAGAGGGUGAUCGGCCACACUGGAACUGAGACACGGUCCAGACUCCUACGGGAGGCAGCAGUAGGGAAUCUUCCGCAAUGGGCGAAAGCCUGACGGAGCAACGCCGCGUGAGUGAUGAAGGUCUUCGGAUCGUAAAACUCUGUUAUUAGGGAAGAACAAAUGUGUAAGUAACUAUGCACGUCUUGACGGUACCUAAUCAGAAAGCCACGGCUAACUACGUGCCAGCAGCCGCGGUAAUACGUAGGUGGCAAGCGUUAUCCGGAAUUAUUGGGCGUAAAGCGCGCGUAGGCGGUUUUUUAAGUCUGAUGUGAAAGCCCACGGCUCAACCGUGGAGGGUCAUUGGAAACUGGAAAACUUGAGUGCAGAAGAGGAAAGUGGAAUUCCAUGUGUAGCGGUGAAAUGCGCAGAGAUAUGGAGGAACACCAGUGGCGAAGGCGACUUUCUGGUCUGUAACUGACGCUGAUGUGCGAAAGCGUGGGGAUCAAACAGGAUUAGAUACCCUGGUAGUCCACGCCGUAAACGAUGAGUGCUAAGUGUUAGGGGGUUUCCGCCCCUUAGUGCUGCAGCUAACGCAUUAAGCACUCCGCCUGGGGAGUACGACCGCAAGGGUGGAAACUCAAAGGAAUU